AUUGAACGCUGGCGGCAGGCCUAACACAUGCAAGUCGAGCGAGCGGCGGACGGGUGAGUAAUGUAUGGGGACUGCCUGAUGGAGGGGGCUAACGACUGGAAACGGUGGCUAAGAGCGCAUACGACCGGAGAACCCAUAGGUGAUUAGCUAGUAGGUGGGGUAACGGCUCACCUAGGAGACGAGCCCUAGCUGGUCUGAGAGGAAGAUCAGCCACACUGGGACUGAUACACGGCCCAGACUCCUACGGAGGCAGCAGUGGGGAAUAUUGCACAAUGGGCGCAAGCCUGAUGCAGCCAUGCCGCGUGUAUGAAGAAGGCCUUCGGGUUGUAAAGUACUUUCAGUUGGGAGGCGUUACCCACAGAGGAAGCACCGGCUAACUCCGUGCCAGCAGCCGCGGUAAUUC
rnacentral:rRNA from 1 species